rnacentral:lncRNA from 1 species
AGGAUGACCCCAAACUUCAGACUUCUAGAGAGUUGAAGCAAAUGAGGUUGGUACUAAGAAGUGCCUUUCCUGACGUCGCUG